rnacentral:rRNA from 1 species
GCUGGCGGCGUGCUUAACACAUGCAAGUCGAACGGUAACAGAAAGAGCUUGCUCUUUGCUGACGAGUGGCGCACGGGUGAGUAAUAUAUAGUUAACGUGCCUCUUAGCCUGGGAUAGCCACUGGAAACGGUGAUUAAUACUGGAUACUCCUUUUACUUUCAAGAGUAAUUGGGAAAGGUUUUUCGCUAAGAGAUCGGACUAUAUUGUAUCAGCUAGUUGGUGAGGUAAGAGCUCACCAAGGCAAUGACACAUAGCGGGUUUGAGAGGAUGAUCCGCCACACUGGUACUGAGACACGGACCAGACUCCUACGGGAGGCAGCAGUGAGGAAUAUUGCACAAUGGAGGAAACUCUGAUGCAGCAACGCCGCGUGGAGGAUGACGCAUUUCGGUGUGUAAACUCCUUUUAUAAGAGAAGAAAAUGACGGUAUCUUAUGAAUAAGUCCCGGCUAACUCCGUGCCAGCAGCCGCGGUAAUACGGAGGGGACAAGCGUUAUUCGGAAUCACUGGGCGUAAAGGACGCGUAGGCGGGUUAUUAAGUCGGGUGUGAAAUCCAAUGGCUCAACCAUUGAACUGCAUUCGAAACUGAUAACCUAGAGUAUGGAAGGGGCAGGUGGAAUUAGUGGUGUAGGGGUAAAAUCCGUAGAUAUCACUAGGAAUACCGAAAGCGAAGGCGACCUGCUGGGACAUUACUGACGCUGAGGCGUGAAAGCGUGGGGAGCAAACAGGAUUAGAUACCCUGGUAGUCCACGCCCUAAACGAUGAAUGCUAGUCGUCGGGGCUCUAGUAGCUUCGGUGAUGCACUUAACAGAUUAAGCAUUCCGCCUGGGGAGUACGGUCGCAAGAUUAAAACUCAAAGGAAUAGACGGGGACCCGCACAAGUGGUGGAGCAUGUGGUUUAAUUCGAAGAUACGCGAAGAACCUUACCUAGCCUUGACAUUGAUUGAAUUUUCCAGAGAUGGAGAAGUGCCUUUCGGGGAACAUGAAAACAGGUGCUGCACGGCUGUCGUCAGCUCGUGUCGUGAGAUGUUGGGUUAAGUCC